rnacentral:rRNA from 1 species
UCGAGUGGUUUUGCGCCGAAGAUGUCCGGGGCUGAAAUCUGUUACCGAAGUUGUGGGAUGACGUGUAUUUCUUCAUAAGUUUAACGAAGCAAAGGACUUAGGACAUCUAAGUUCGAAAUUCAACCUUAAUCUAAAUUAGGAAUAAAUCAAAGGAUUUCGAAUAGAUGCUUUUAAGGAUGAAAUCAAGUUAAGUUAAGCGGAUGAAGAAAUAUACGUCAUCGGUAGAGGAGCAUUGUGUAAGGGUUGAAGUUCCAUCGAAAGAGGAUAUGGACUUUACACAAGAGAGAAUGUUGGCAUGAGUAGCGAAAGGGGAGUGAGAAUCUCCCCCAUCGAAAGCCUAAGGCUUCCUGAGGAAGGCUCGUCCGCUCAGGGUAAGUCGGGACCUAAGCCGAGGCCAAAGGGCGUAGGCGAUGGACAACUGGUUGAAAUUCCAGUACCACCUUUAAGCGUUUGAGAGAAGGGGUGACACAGAAGGGUAAGCUAUCGCACUGAUGGAAUAGUGCGUCUAAGUAAGUAGGGAGGUAACCGAGGCAAAUCCCGGAUACCAAUCCUGAGAUACGAAUGGGAGCGAAAAUAAGUAGUGAAGUAGUUGAGCCCAAGCUGUCAAGAAAAGCCUCUAUCGAGCAAGAAGGUGCCCGUACCGCAAACCGACACAGGUAGGCAAGGAGAGAAUCCAAAGAUGAGCGGAAGAACUAUUGUUAAGGAACUAGGCAAAAUGACCCCGUAACUUCGGGAGAAGGGGUGCCGUGAGGUGUGAAGAUUGAACAAUCGGAGCAUCAUGCGGCCACAGAAAACAGGCCCAAGCGACUGUUUACCAAAAACACAGGUCUCUGCUAAAUCGAAAGAUGAAGUAUAGGGGCUGACACCUGCCCGGUGCUGGAAGGUUAAGGGGAGAAGUUAUCGCAAGAGAAGCUUUGAACUUAAGCCCCAGUAAACGGCGGCCGUAACUAUAACGGUCCUAAGGUAGCGAAAUUCCUUGUCGGGUAAGUUCCGACCCGCACGAAAGGUGUAACGAUUUGGGCACUGUCUCAACAAUAGAUCCGGUGAAAUUGUAGUACUCGUGAAGAUGCGAGUUACCCGCGGCAGGACGGAAAGACCCCAUGGAGCUUUACUGCAGGCUGACAUUGGAAUUCGGUAGCAAUUGUACAGAAUAGGUGGGAGACUGAGAAGCCAGUACGCCAGUAUUGGUGGAGUCGCCUUUGGGAUACCACUCUAUUGUUACUGAAUUUCUAACAUGAUACCGUAAGCCGGUAUAUGGACACUGUCAGUUGGGCAGUUUGACUGGGGCGGUCGCCUCCGAAAGAGUAACGGAGGCGCUCAAAGGUUCCCUCAGCACGGUCGGAAAUCGUGCGAAGAGUGUAAAGGCAGAAGGGAGCUUGACUGCGAGAUAGACAUAUCGAGCAGGAACGAAAGUUGGACUUAGU